rnacentral:rRNA from 1 species
GACGUAGGGCGCGAGCGUUGUCCGGAUUUAUUGGGCGUAAAGAGCUCGUAGGCGGCUUGUCGCGUCGACCGUGAAAACUCGCAGCUCAACUGCGAGCCUGCGGUCGAUACAGGCAGGCUAGAGUUCGGUAGGGGAGACUGGAAUUCCUGGUGUAGCGGUGAAAUGCGCAGAUAUCAGGAGGAACACCGAUGGCGAAGGCAGGUCUCUGGGCCGAUACUGACGCUGAGGAGCGAAAGCGUGGGGAGCGAACAGG